rnacentral:rRNA from 1 species
AUUGAACGCUGGCGGCAGGCCUAACACAUGCAAGUCGAGCGGAUGAAGAGAGCUUGCUCUCUGAUUUAGCGGCGGACGGGUGAGUAAUGCCUAGGAAUCUGCCUGGUAGUGGGGGAUAACGUUCCGAAAGGAACGCUAAUACCGCAUACGUCCUACGGGAGAAAGUGGGGGAUCUUCGGACCUCACGCUAUCAGAUGAGCCUAGGUCGGAUUAGCUAGUUGGUGAGGUAAUGGCUCACCAAGGCGACGAUCCGUAACUGGUCUGAGAGGAUGAUCAGUCACACUGGAACUGAGACACGGUCCAGACUCCUACGGGAGGCAGCAAUGGGGAAUAUUGGACAAUGGGCGAAAGCCUGAUCCAGCCAUGCCGCGUGUGUGAAGAAGGUCUUCGGAUUGUAAAGCACUUUAAGUUGGGAGGAAGGGUUGUAGAUUAAUACUCUGCAAUUUUGACGUUACCGACAGAAUAAGCACCGGCUAACUUCGUGCCAGCAGCCGCCGUAA